rnacentral:lncRNA from 1 species
CAUCACUGGCAGAAUAAAAGAGACCCAUAGAAGGAGUGCCUUUAAGGUAUCUCAAAACAUGUAGGGCAGCAGUCAUAUGGGGAAGUCUGGGGCAUUCUAGGAAUUGACUCAGAUGUUGAACAACAAAGCAUAUGUCAGGCCUAGUAUGAGUCACAAAUAACAGCUUACCAACAAGACUCAUAUACUGAUCAGGAGAGGUUAAAAGGUCACCAGAAUCAGCAUGCAGUUUGACAUUAAUAUCCAAAGGACAAACAACAGAGGAUACAUUUGUACAAUCAAACUGAUGCAGUAAAUCAGAAACAUACUUAUGCUGAUUAAAGAUAAUUCCACCAGGAACAACUGACAUUUCAAGGCCCAAAAAAUAAUGCAAAGACCCUAGGUAUUUGAUUUUAAACUGAUCAUCCAGAAACAGUUUAAGGGCAGUAAUUUCAUCACUGUCAUCCCCNNNNNNNNNNNNNNNNNNNNNNNGGAUCAUUCCACCAGGAACAACUGACAUUUCAAGGCCCAAAAAAUAAUGCAAAGACCCUAGGUCUUUGAUUUUAAACUGAUCAUCCAGAAACAGUUUCAAGGCAGUAAUCUCAUCACUGUCAUCCCCAGUAAGAAUAAUAUCAUCCACAUAGACUGCCACAACCACAAGGGACCUAGGUUUACCUUUGAUGAACAAAGAAUAGUCAUUCAAAGAAUGUGUGUACCCUCUCGAAUAAAGAGAAGAAGACCAUUUGGCAUACCAUUGUCUGGAUGCUUGUCUCAGCUCAUAUAGGGAUUUCUUGAGCUUACAAACCAGAGGAGAAGGAGUAGAAGAUGUAGAAGAAACAG